GAUGAAGAACGUAGCGAAAUGCGAUAAGUAAUGUGAAUUGCAGAAUUCAGUGAAUCAUCGAAUCUUUGAACGCACAUUGCGCCCGCCAGUAUUCUGGCGGGCAUGCCUGUCUGAGCGUCAUUUCAACCCUCAUGCCCCUAGGGCGUGGUGUUGGGGAUCGGCCAAAGCCCGCGAGGGACGGCCGGCCCCUAAAUCUAGUGGCGGACCCGUCGUGGCCUCCUCUGCGAAGUAGUGAUAUUCCGCAUCGGAGAGCGAUGAGCCCCUGCCGUUAAACCCCCAACUUUCCAAGGUUGACCUCAGAUCAGGUAGGAAUACCCGCUGAACUUAAGCAUAUCAAGAAGCGGAGGA
rnacentral:misc_RNA from 1 species